CCUACGGGUGGCAGCAGUGAGGAAUAUUGGUCAAUGGACGAGAGUCUGAACCAGCCAAGUAGCGUGAAGGAUGACUGCCCUAUGGGUUGUAAACUUCUUUUAUAUGGGGAUAAAACGUUCCACGUGUGGGAUUUUGUAUGUACCAUAUGAAUAAGGAUCGGCUAACUCCGUGCCAGCAGCCGCGGUAAUACGGAGGAUCCGAGCGUUAUCCGGAUUUAUUGGGUUUAAAGGGAGCGUAGGUGGAUUGUUAAGUCGGUUGUGAAAGUUUGCGGAUCAACCGUAAAAUUGCAGUUGAAACUGGCAGUCUUGAGUACAGUAGAGGUGGGCGGAAUUCGUGGUGUAGCGGUGAAAUGCUUAGAUAUCACGAAGAACUCCGAUUGCGAAGGCAGUUCACUGGACUGCAACUGACACUGAGGCUCGAAAGUGUGGGUAUCAAACAGGAUUAGAUACCCUGGUAGUC
rnacentral:rRNA from 1 species